rnacentral:rRNA from 1 species
UACGUAGGGGCCGAGCGUUGUCCGGAGUUAUUGGGCGUAAAGCGCGCGCAGGCGGUCUCGCGCGCCCGACGUGAAAGCCCCCGGCUUAACCGGGGAGGGUCGUUGGGGACGGCGGGGCUUGAGGGCGGGAGAGGGCGGUGGAAUUCCCGGUGUGAGUGGUGAAAUGCGUAGAGAUCGGGAGGAACACCUGUGGCGAAGGCGGCCGUCUGGGCCGACCCUGACGCUGAGGCGCGAAGGCGUGGGAGCGAACGGGAUUGAGAAACCCCAGU